rnacentral:rRNA from 1 species
UGCAGUCGAGCGCACUCUUCGGAGUGAGCGGCGGACGGGUUAGUAACGCGUGGGAACGUACCCAGAUCUACGGAAUAGCCUCGGGAAACUGAGAGUAAUACCGUAUACGCCCUUCGGGGGAAAGAUUUAUCGGAUUUGGAUCGGCCCGCGUUAGAUUAGAUAGUUGGUGAGGUAACGGCUCACCAAGUCUACGAUCUAUAGCUGGUUUUAGAGGAUGAUCAGCAACACUGGGACUGAGACACGGCCCAGACUCCUACGGGAGGCAGCAGUGGGGAAUCUUGGACAAUGGGCGCGAGCCUGAUCCAGCCAUGCCGCGUGAGUGAUGAAGGCCUUAGGGUCGUAAAGCUCUUUCGCCAGAGAUGAUAAUGACAGUAUCUGGUAAAGAAACCCCGGCUAACUCCGUGCCAGCAGCCGCGGUAAUACGGAGGGGGUUAGCGUUGUUCGGAAUUACUGGGCGUAAAGCGCGCGUAGGCGGACCAGAAAGUUAGGGGUGAAAUCCCGGGGCUCAACCCCGGAACUGCCUCUAAAACUCCUGAUCUAGAGUUCGAGAGAGGUGAGUGGAAUUCCGAGUGUAGAGGUGAAAUUCGUAGAUAUUCGGAGGAACACCAGUGGCGAAGGCGGCUCACUG